CGGUGCCUCGUGCCGGAUGAAGGCCUUCGGGUUGUAAACUGCUUUCGUACGGAACGAAAAAGUCUUCUCUAAUACAGGGGGCGAAUGACGGUACCGUAAGAAUAAGCACCGGCUAACUACGUGCCAGCAGCCGCGGUAAUACGUAGGGUGCAAGCGUUAAUCGGAAUUACUGGGCGUAAAGCGUGCGCAGGCGGUUAUAUAAGACAGAUGUGAAAUCCCCGGGCUCAACCUGGGAACUGCAUUAGUGACUGUAUAGCUAGAGUGCGGCAGAGGGGGAUGGAAUUCCGCGUGUAGCAGUGAAAUGCGUAGAUCUGCGGAGGAACACCGAUGGCGAAGGCAAUCCCCUGGGCCUGUACUGACGCUCAUGCACGAAAGCGUGGGGAGCAAACAGGAUUAGAUACCCUGGUAGUCCACGCCCUAAACGAUGUCAACUGGUUGUUGGGAAUUCACUGACUCAGUAACGAAGCUAACGCGUGAAGUUGACCGCCUGGGGAGUACGGCCGCAAGGUUGAAACUCAAA
rnacentral:rRNA from 1 species